GAUGAACGCUGGCGGCGUGCCUAACACAUGCAAGUCGAACGUUAGGGUUUAGCAAUAAACCCGAAAGUGGCGAACGGGUGAGUAACACGUAGGUAACCUGCCGCGCAGAGGGGGAUAACGACUAGAAAUGGUCGCUAAUACCGCAUGGUACUAUUUUGGGGGGACCCUGAAUGGUUAAAACCUUGGUGCUGCGCGUGGGGCCUGCGUCCGAUUAGUUAGUUGGUGAGGUAAUGGCUCACCAAGACGAUGAUUGGUAGGGGAACUGAGAGGUCAAUCCCCCACACUGGCACUGGGAUACGGGCCAGAGUCCUACGUGAGGCAGCAGUAGGGAAUAUUGGGCAAUGGGCGCAAGCCUGACCCAGCCAUGCCGCGUGCAGGAAGAAGGCGUUAUGCGUUGUAAACUGCUUUUAUACAGGAAGAAACGACCCUUGCGAGGGGCAUUGACGGUACUGUAUGAAUAAGCACCGGCUAACUCCGUGCCAGCAGCCGCCGUAAGAC
rnacentral:rRNA from 1 species